rnacentral:rRNA from 1 species
UACAGAGGUCUCAAGCGUUGUUCGGAUUCAUUGGGCGUAAAGGGUGCGUAGGUGGCGCUGUAAGUCGGGUGUGAAAUUUCGGAGCUUAACUCCGAAACUGCAUUCGAUACUGCGGUGCUUGAGGACUGGAGAGGAGACUGGAAUUCAUGGUGUAGCAGUGAAAUGCGUAGAUAUCGUGAGGAAGACCAGUGGCGAAGGCGGGUCUCUGGACAGUUCCUGACACUGAGGCACGAAGGCCAGGGGAGCAAACGGG